rnacentral:rRNA from 1 species
ACGCUAGCUACAGGCUUAACACAUGCAAGUCGAGGGGAAACGGCAUUUAGUGCUUGCACCGAAGGGACGUCGACCGGCGCACGGGUGAGUAACGCGUAUCCAACCUUCCCAUAACUAAGGAAUAACCUGCCGAAAGGCAGACUAAUACCUUAUGUAAUCCUUUGAUGGCAUCAGAUUAGGAUAAAAGAUUUAUCGGUUAUGGAUGGGGAUGCGUCUGAUUAGCUUGUUGGCGGGGUAACGGCCCACCAAGGCAACGAUCAGUAGGGGUUCUGAGAGGAAGGUCCCCCACAUUGGAACUGAGACACGGUCCAAACUCCUACGGGAGGCAGCAGUGAGGAAUAUUGGUCAAUGGACGGAAGUCUGAACCAGCCAAGUAGCGUGCAGGAAGACGGCCCUAUGGGUUGUAAACUGCUUUUGUAUGGGGAUAAAGUCAAUCACGUGUGAUUGUUUGCAGGUACCAUACGAAUAAGGACCGGCUAAUUCCGUGCCAGCAGCCGCGGUAAUACGGAAGGUUCGGGCGUUAUCCGGAUUUAUUGGGUUUAAAGGGAGCGUAGGCCGGAGAUUAAGUGUGUUGUGAAAUGUAGACGCUCAACGUCUGACUUGCAGCGCAUACUGGUUUCCUUGAGUACGCACAACGUUGGCGGAAUUCGUCGUGUAGCGGUGAGAUGCUUAGAUAUGACGAAGAACUCCGAUUGCGAAGGCGGCUGACGGGAGCGCAACUGACGCUGAAGCUCGAAGGUGCGGGUAUCGAACAGGAUUAGAUACCCUGGUAGUCCGCACAGUAAACGAUGGAUGCCCGCUGUUGGUACGUGGUAUCAGCGGCUAAGCGAAAGCAUUAAGCAUCCCACCUGGGGAGUACGCCGGCAACGGUGAAACUCAAAGGAAUUGACGGGGGCCCGCACAAGCGGAG